rnacentral:rRNA from 1 species
UACGGAAUGUGCAAACGUUAUUCGGAAUCACUGGGCUUAAAGAGUCCGUAGGCGGCAUGUUAGGUGAGGUGUGAAAUCCCACGGCUCAACCGUGGAAUUGCGCUUCAAACCGGCGUGCUUGAGGAAGAUAGAGGUGGGCGGAACUGAUGGUGGGGCGGUGAAAUGCGUUGAUAUCAUCAGGAACACCGGAGGCGAAGGCGGCCCACUGGGUCUUUUCUGACGCUGAGGGACGAAAGCUAGGGGAGCGAACGGG